rnacentral:rRNA from 1 species
GACGAACGCUGGCGGCGUGCUUAACACAUGCAAGUCGAACGGAAAGGCCCUGCUUGCUGGGUGGUCGAGUGGCGAACGGGUGAGUAACACGUGAGUGAUCUGCCCCUUAUUUUGGGAUAAGCCUGGGAAACUGGGUCUAAUACUGGAUAGGAGCAUGCUGCAGGUGGUGUGGGGGGGAGAUUAGUUUCGGUAGGGGAUGAGCUCGCGGCCUAUCAGCUUGUUGGUGGGGUAAUGGCUGACCAAGGCGGCGACGGGUAGCCGGCCUGAGAGGGUGGACGGCGACCUUGGGACGGAGAUACGGCCCAGCAGACUACGAGGGGAGGCAGUAGGGAAGAUUGCAGCACAAGGGGAGGAAUGAUGAAGCAGCGACGCGGGGUGGGUGACGGCCUUCGGGUUGUAAACUACCUUCAGCCAUGAGGAAGAACUUGUAGUGACGGUAGUGGCAGAAGAAGCACCGGCUAACUACGUG